rnacentral:rRNA from 1 species
AGCUCCAAUAGCGUAUAUUAAAGUUGUUGCAGUUAAAAAGCUCGUAGUUGGAUUUGUGGCAGUCGCGGGCGGCCUGGCACUUAGUGCCGGUGCUUGCCUGCGUCGCCAUCCUUGGGUGGAAUCUGUGUGGCAUUAGGUUGUCGUGCAGGGGAUGCCCAUCGUUUACUGUGAAAAAAUUAGAGUGUUCAAAGCAGGCUUAUGCCGUUGAAUAUAUUAGCAUGGAAUAAUAAGAUAGGACCUUGGUACUAUUUUGUUGGUUUGCGCACCAAGGUAAUGAUUAAUAGGGACAGUUGGGGGUAUUCGUAUUCCAUUGUCAGAGGUGAAAUUCUUGGAUUUCUGGAAGACGAACUACUGCGAAAGCAUUUACCAAGGAUGUUUUCAUUAAUCAAGAACGAAAGUA